UACGAAGGGUGCAAGCGUUAAUCGGAAUUACUGGGCGUAAAGCGUGCGUAGGCGGUUAUUUAAGUCUGCCGUGAAAUCCCCGGGCUCAACCUGGGAAUGGCGGUGGAUACUGGAUAGCUAGAGUGUGUCAGAGGAUGGUGGAAUUCCCGGUGUAGCGGUGAAAUGCGUAGAGAUCGGGAGGAACAUCAGUGGCGAAGGCGGCCAUCUGGGACAACACUGACGCUGAAGCACGAAAGCGUGGGGAGCAAACAGG
rnacentral:rRNA from 1 species